UGCCACGACGGGAACUCCGUAAAAUAAAAUUUCUAACAACACCAACUUGGCAGGUGGUGCAGUCCAGCGCCGCCCACACGAACACAACUUAGUGCUCUUGUUCAAGGCUCUCUUCCUUCCAAGCCCCGUGACAGCCCUACCCUCAAAAUAACACACAGUGGUGACAGGCUGCAGGAGGUAAACAAGCUUGUCCUCAAACUAGACACAAACUCAGGACAAGAGAUCCCCAAAGUUACAGGUUAUUCAGAAAAGCUACAGUGGAAGAACUACAGGGAAAACCCUCAACAUCCACUUGGCUAAAUGGGACAGUAACAUGAUCCACUCACAGAAGAAGGUAGGUGCAUAUAUUAACUAUGAUAUGUAAUUUUCAACUUAUUUCUGCACAUGCGCAAAAAUACACACACAGUUAGAACUGUAUCAGUAUGAAGUACAAGUUGAAGGUCCAAAUGUAUGAGGGAGCCUUUCUCAUACGCCUAGUCUGAACAAGGUCCAUCGUGCUGUUCCACGUUUGUGUUUGUAACUCUGUGGAUGGAAGUCAAGUACAUUUUAUCUCCUUUGAUCCAGGACCUAAAUUUGUCCAGUCUUCAUCCUAAUAUUUUAAUGUCAUUCCUGUCUCAAUUGUAUUUACACAAUUCUGCACUUUUAACUAUGAUAUUCAUUACAGAAAUUAACCCAAUUCAAUGAACAUGAAUGUGCAAAAGCAAAAUUACUUUGAAAAUGUCAAGUUUUCUUAAUAAACAUGAAAGGACGAAAGCACUUCCCAUUUGACAGUAGUGAUUACUUUAAGCAACUGUAUGAGUUUUGAAACAUUUUCAGCAUUUCUAGGUCCACCUCCCUCCUGAGGAGACGCAGGACCUGUGCCCUGGGGCAGGGGCGGGGGUCUCUUCUCCUGAUUGAGAAGCCCUAAUACUGAAGAAAUGGCAUUGCCAGGUACGUGAUGUGUUGAACUUUGCCCUUCUGUAAUUUGAUUAUAAAACAACAUUUAUUUUUGCCUCCCCAGAUGUCAUUUUUAAUAUCACCAAAUAUGCCUUUCCAGCUCUGCAUCUCCUAACCCUCACACCCUACAAGAUUUCAACAUUCUUCUUUACUGGGGUAAUCAAUGAACCAAAAUACAAUUUCUGAAUUAGCAUCCAAAAUAAAGCCCAAUAACUCAGUUUGAGAAAACAGUACUCGAUUUACAUACAGAAAGAAAUUGUACUGUUGAUGAAAUGAGUACUGCAAUAUUGAGUAUAUUCUGAUUAUUAAACCAAAUCACUUAGGGGUUCCCGUCGUGGCGCAGUGGUUAACAAAUCUGACUAGGAACCAUGAGGUUGCAGGUUCGAUCCCUGACCUUGCUCAGUGCGUUAAGGAUUGGGCAUUACCGUGAGCUGUGGUGGAGGUCACAGACACGGCUUGGAUCCCGCGUGGCUGUGGCUCUGGUGUAGACCGGCAGCUACAGCUCCGAUUAGACCCCCUAGCCUGGGAACUUCCAUGUGCCUCGGGAGCAGCCCCAGAAAAGGCAAAAAGACAAAAAAAUAAAUAAAAUUUAAAAAAAUUAAAAAAUAAAGCAAAUCACUUAAACUUUACUUGCAAAUUAAUGUGCAGACAUGUUUUUUUGUUUUUUUUGUUUGUCUUUUUUUUUUUUUGCUAUUUCUUGGGCCUCUUCCGCGGCAUACGGAGGUUCCCUGGCUAGGGGUUGAAUCGGAGCUGUAGCCACCGGCCUACGCCAGAGCCACAGCAACGCGGGAUCCGAGCCGCGUCUGCAACCUACACCACAGCUCACGGCAAUGCCGGAUGUUAACCCACUGAGCAAGGGCAGGGACCGAACCCGCAACCUCAUGGUUCCUAGUCGGAUUCGUUAACCACUGCACCAUGAUGGGAACUCCCGAGACAUGUUUUUAAAAUAAUCUGCUGAAACCAUCAUGAAAUGCAUCUUUUAAACCGAUCAAUUAUGGUAAUUACAGAUUAUAUUGCUUUCCUUUGUUAAAAUAUAAUGUUUUCUUUAAGUAUAUAAAUGAGUCAUAGUUUCCUCAUUUUCCAUGCAUCCUCAGAUAUUUAGAACUAAAACUUUGAGAUUUUUCCUAAAUAAAGUUUUACCAGUUUCUACCUAGUUUAACAACUUAGAGUUGAAUCUAUGUAGUCUAUGGACUUGCCAACUAUCAAAAAUGUUUCUCUGAUGCACAAUGACAGAAAUAUAAACAUCUCCGUCUGUAAGAACUAUUUGUCUAUUUUUCCAAAUUCUAAUAGAGUGAAAUUGUGAAAUUUCU
ensembl:lncRNA